rfam:TPA: Bos taurus chromosome 20, whole genome shotgun sequence.
UCCCUAAUAGCUCAGUUGUAAAGAAUUUGCCUGCAAUGCAGGAGACCCUGGUUCAAUCCCUGGGUUGGGAA